UGUCUCAUAUAAUCGAUCAAUCAAACCGCGGAAAGACGUCAGUAAAACAGUUUGUUAACAAUGUCACUGAACUUUACUUUUACCUCAGAAAAGGCAUUCGGUGUAAAUAUUGAACUUUGGCAAGAACACAUGCUCUUCUAUAUGUGAAAAGUUGAGCAGCAGCGGUUUAUGCCGUUAUGAAGAGAAAGCAAGGCUUAGUGAAGAAGUUCCAGUCUCUAAACUCGUCUAAAAGGCCAGUUUCUGAAGGCUUUCUAGUCAGAUGACCGCUGGAUUCAGAGACCAGAGUGCUAACCAUUACACCAUGGAACCUGUCCAGGAAAAUCCCGUGAAACGAGGCAGGGCUCGUCCGGGACUCUUUCACCCCAGGAGAAUCAAAUCCCUUGACCAACGAGCCACCCCGGGCUUCAGCGUGGGAGAUAUGGCUGGACUGAUGGUGAUUGAACGCUGUUCCUAAGGUGCUGGUGCAGAGCUCACUGUGGAGUUUAUAAUCCGCAUCAGCCAAUCAGAGCACAGCACAGCGCAUCACUUCCUGCUGGAGGCAGGGUGGCGUCACCACUGAUGCAGAGGACAGAAGGACACAAUCUGAUCACAAUGGACAGUCUGGACGCUUUACAGGAAACUGCAGCGUUGCAGCAGCUAAAAAUAUUCUGCCAUCAGAUUCAAGAUAUGACUCAUGAUACGAGGCCGGAGAACAACACGUCACGGAUGACUGUGGUCAUGUUAACACCGGACAUGUGCGAGCCUGGCAGAGAUUAGCCCGUCUGAAUCAGAGAACGGUCCGCCCUAAACCUCCUCACACACCCGUUCCAUCCGCAUGAGAUGGACACUAUCGAGAUGUCUAACCACUGACUGAAAGACUGUGAGGAGACAUCUGUCAAACUUUAAUGCUCUGUUAAUCUGAUGACCAUCCCUGAAACAUGACUACAUCUCACACUGCCCAUGGAUGGAUGGAUGGAUGGAUAGAUAGAUAGAUA